rnacentral:rRNA from 1 species
AUUGAACGCUGGCGGCAGGCCUAACACAUGCAAGUCGAGCGGAUGAAGGGAGCUUGCUCCUGGAUUCAGCGGCGGACGGGUGAGUAAUGCCUAGGAAUCUGCCUGGUAGUGGGGGAUAACGUCCGGAAACGGGCGCUAAUACCGCAUACGUCCUGAGGGAGAAAGUGGGGGAUCUUCGGACCUCACGCUAUCAGAUGAGCCUAGGUCGGAUUAGCUAGUUGGUGGGGUAAAGGCCUACCAAGGCGACGAUCCGUAACUGGUCUGAGAGGAUGAUCAGUCACACUGGAACUGAGACACGGUCCAGACUCCUACGGGAGGCAGCGGUGGGGAAUAUUGGACAAUGGGCGAAAGCCUGAUCCAGCCAUGCCGCGUGUGUGAAGAAGGUCUUCGGAUUGUAAAGCACUUUAAGUUGGGAGGAAGGGCAGUAAGUUAAUACCUUGCUGUUUUGACGUAACCAACAGAAUAAGCACCGGCUAACUUCGU